rnacentral:rRNA from 1 species
CUAGAGAUAGGGAUUUCCCUUCGGGGACAGGAGUGACAGGUGGUGCAUGGUUGUCGUCAGCUCGUGUCGUGAGAUGUUGGGUUAAGUCCCGCAACGAGCGCAACCCUUGACCUUAGUUGCCAGCAUUCAGUUGGGCACUCUAAGGUGACUGCCGGUGACAAACCGGAGGAAGGUGGGGAUGACGUCAAAUCAUCAUGCCCCUUAUGACCUGGGCUACACACGUGCUACAAUGGAUGGUACAAAGGGCUGCAAGACCGCGAGGUUUAGCCAAUCCCAUAAAACCAUUCUCAGUUCGGAUUGUAGGCUGCAACUCGCCUACAUGAAGCCGGAAUCGCUAGUAAUCGCGGAUCAGCAUGCCGCGGUGAAUACGUUCCCGGGCCUUGUACACACCGCCCGUCACACCACGAGAGUUUGUAACACCCGAAGUCGGUGAGGUAACCUUUUGGAGCCAGCCGCCGAAGGUGGGACAGAUGAUUGGGGUGAAGUCGUAACAAGGUAGCCGUAUCGGAAGGUGCGGCUGGAUCACCUCCUUU